CAGGCUUCACGCGUUCGCAGGCGAUUUCGUUUCGGUGAACACGUGCUCCGAUAACUUCAUUUAUCGCCCUCGCGAUAGUACACAUAUACGAACGCGGACUGAAAGGUUUCACGUUUGACAAAAGGCCCCAUGACGCACUAAACGGCCCCACCUUUCAUCGUGGUAAAGGUAAAGAUAUCACGACGAAACAACAACGUAACAUCGAAUUACUGUAGAAUUUUUAACUACAUACCUACCUCACGAUGAAUCAUGCUAGAAAUUAUAAUCACAGCACGAGCUUGUUUGGAAAUUACGUUCAAGAUAAUCAAGAAAACGAACAAGACACGAACGUAGAUCCACUGUCAACGAUGACGCAUAGAUAUCCAUGGACAUUUAGCACUUCCGGUUAUUCCAAUUCGAGUUCACCAGGUACUGCAUCCUCAGGAAGCAGUACAAAUUCUCAAUGUUAUGGUCAAUCACCUGAUGAUCUAAGUGUUGACUCUCUCAUUAAUAGUCUACUACAAGUAGUGAAUGGUGACAAUUUUAGUGGACCGGUUUCCUGCAAUAUUCAAUUUUCACAAAAUGGAAAUUCUACCAAUAGAUGCAGGGACUGUAUUGAUGCAGUUUGUGACUCUUGUUCUCCUAGUAGAUUUUUGAAUGCUACAGAGUUGGGCCACGAAGAUGAUCAUCCAGCACAAACUAUAUCUACAGAAGCACCAAGCCCUCCAAUAACCAUUACACCACAUUUAAAUUCUUCAGGAUUGCCACUGUUUUGUGAUAUACAUCGUGAUGCUCAAAGAUUUUAUUGCCAAACCUGUAGUAAACCCCUCUGUGGUGAAUGUGGAAUUCAUCAUCAUCAUGGCCAUAUUACAGUAAACUUAAUGGAAGCCGUUGAAGGUGCUGGACUUCAAGCAAAUCAAGUAUUAAGAGAAGCUAAGCUUGGAAUUACAGCUUUGUCUGAAGAAUUAGAUGCUGUACAAAUAGCAGCAGAAAUUUUAGAGCAAAAAGCAAGACAAGCAACUACAGAUGUAAUGUUGUGCGUAAGAAGAGUGGCUUCUGCUUUAGAAGUAAGAGAAAAGGAAUUGCUAGGUAAAAUCGAAAAAGCUAGGCUGCUUAAAUUUGCCGCGUUAAAAGCAAGAGACGAAGGACUCAGAAAUGGCAUAGCCAGAUUAUCGCGCGCUGCUGAUAAGCUUAGAGAAGCAAUGGAAUCCAAAACCCUAUCUAGCAAUCCAUUGAAUUUGUUACUUACCAAGGAUAUGGCUUCAGCUGAGGUUUUUCAAAUUCGUCAGAGUCGUCAAUCUCUUCCCUCGCAAGAAGAAAACUGGAUCUCGUUUAACGGAUUAGAGGGUUCUAUACUUAAUGCUAUCGCAAACCUUGGUGCUGUUGUGGUGAACAAUCCUGGUCCCAUAGGCGAUCGACGUGCAGUAAGGGGUCGUGGGAAUUCCCCUCAAAUAUUCCUCAGACAAACAGUUUCGAUUCCCCUGGUUUCAAUUCCACAAGGAAGACCAGUUCCCUCGAACAAAUUUCCAGUCGUAGUGAGGAUAAAUCGUACCUCUGAUAUGUCAGUGAAACCAAAGAAAAUCAUUGGAAACAACGGUGAUGCAGAGGACAAUCUUUGUCGGCCAUGGGGAAUAGCAUGUGAUAGGGAAGGUCAUGUAGUGAUCGCCGACAGGUCCAACAAUCGUAUACAAGUAUAUCAUCAGGAUGGUACUUUCAUUAGAAAGUUUGGCACUCACGGUACUGGACCAGGGCAAUUUGAUCGCCCGGCUGGUGUGGCAGUUGAUGCACGUCGGCGUAUAGUUGUAGCUGAUAAGGAUAAUCACCGUAUACAGGUGUUGACAAUGGAAGGCCUAUUUCUUCUAAGUUUUGGCGAGAAAGGCUGUCGUUGUGGACAAUUCAACUACCCAUGGGAUGUCGCGGUGAAUUCUGACUGCCAAAUAGUUGUAUCCGAUACGAGAAACCAUCGUGUACAAUUAUUCAGUCCCGAGGGCAUUUUUCUACGAAAGUACGGUUAUGAAUCGGCACCGAACAUGUGGAAGCAUUUCGAUUCACCGCGCGGCGUAGCGUUCAAUCCGGAAGGAAACGUGGUUACAACGGAUUUUAAUAAUCACAGGGUAGUGAUCAUCGAAGCUGAUUUCAUGCACGCCAAAAUCUUAGAAUGUGAGUGCGCAGCUGGUGCAAAACAGUUCCUUAGACCGCAAGGGUUAGUGAUCGACGACGAAGGUAAUAUUAUCAUAGCCGACUCUAGGAAUCAUCGAAUUCAAAUAUUCGAUUCAGCCGGAGUAUUGAAAUGGAGAUUUGGUUGUUACGGCAAAGCUGAAGAUGAGAUGGAUAGACCUUCGGGCAUCGCUUUGUGCCCAGAUGGUAGUAUUGCGGUUGUAGACUUUGGUAAUAAUCGAGUCCUUAUUAUUUAAGAUGGUUAAUUGGAUUUAUCAAAGAAAGAAAGAGAGGGAGAGCGUGAGAAACAAAGAGAACGAGAGAAAGAGAAAGAUUUUAUACACGUUAAAUGUGCGACAGUGAUUGAGGACAUGACGUUACUGUUUUUCUCGAUUUUAGAAGUAAGCGUGUGACGCUUAAGCCCACAGAUAACAAGCGUUAGAGGCAAUAUUUUCCUACUGAUUGUAUAUAAAUAUGGAAAUCCGUAUAGGUUCCUUUUGAAGCUUCGGGUUUUCUCACUUUGAGUGCCAAACAACCAAGUACAAAAAUGAACUUUUUGUUCUGAAGUCAUAUCGUUAUGGAUGUUCCCAUCAGAAGAGAAAUGUUAUUUUCACAUUAUUCAUACGUAGUUAUCCGUUGUCUAUAAAUUCGUGGAAGAAACAAAAAGUAACUAAAGAUGUUAGUAUAAUAGUUUAAAUAAUGAAAGAGAAUUAGGGAUGAUUCAUUCCAGUAUUUGGCUAUCUUGUGAGAUAGCGGCAAGUUAUAAAGAAGGAGUAAAGCGAAUGCAUUUUGUCAAAAAUGUUUUUCAUACCGAGCAAUUAUAUUCUAUAUUACUUUUAAUAUUAAAACGAUGGCCAGGUUUCUAAACUAUUUUGCCAGACGACAAUUUUGAAUAAAGUAAAGCAGAAGGUAUAAAUAAUACUAUUAAAUAAAUAAAGUUAUAUCAGUAUAUGGUUAAAGUACUCAUUAGAAGUGGAAAUUUGAGAGUAACGCAAUACAAGUGGCAAAGAGGAUAAUAUGUUACCAAGCAAGUUAGUUCAUUAUCGCCAAUCAAUCACAGUAUUAGUUAUUUUGAGAACUUAAGUUCGAACAAGAAAUGAUCUCUCAACUAUAAUGCGUAGAAAUAUCUUCACAAGUAUAGUUGAAUUACCUACACAAAAGAUAAAUGAAUUUCAUAUUUUGAUUAUCAUUGUACUGAAUAUAUAUCGGAAACAGCAAUUCAGCUUUAAGAAUGUUGAAGAAAUUUCUACGUAUAAGAAAUAGUUUAUCGAAGAAGUAUUUACACAGAAAGUAAUUUCUUCAUAUUACAAUAUAUAAUAACAUUAUGGUAUGUGGCAAUAAUGUUGACCAUAGUAAAAGAACGAUUUUAUUGAUAAAAUAUGCUUACCUAAUUGUAUUUUUAUCGCAAUGCUGUGCUAAUAAACAAAGAUUAAGUUAGAUUUUGAAUGUGUACAUCCUGCUCAAGUAUUACAUAUAUGCAUUUAAUAAGUAUCAGGCAUCAGUAGGUCGCAAACAAAUAUGUUUUUGUUAAACAAUUGACAAGAGAGUAAUAGCUUAAAUGUGAGUGCAGGGCAGGGAAUAGAGUUGCACGUCCAUUUUUCAGAAAAAUCAUAUACGAAUUUAUUUAUUCCUGUGUAAAAUAUUGGAUCGACACAAAAGAUUUUGUUAUAGUUUCUUAUACUACGGCAGAAUAAUGAAUCCAAUAUUGUAUACACAUUGUAAUAUAUACAUAUGUAUAAAACUAUAGUAUAUAUACAUACAUAUAGCUGAUAUAUACGUGUACUAUACAAAAAAAAAGAAAAGUACAACAAGACUUGCAUACAAAACAAUUAGUAAGCUAUGUUGUGUCCAGGAAAUGAAAUAUUCCUGCAACAAAAAUAAAUUGAUCCUUGCUAUUUUUUGGUGAUUCCACUUUUUACGAAUCUUUUAAUGUCAAAAUUAAAUAUACAUGUUGCAAGCUCUUAUGCGAUAAGAUGAUGUUAGAAGGUUUGCGAGGCAAAUGCAUCUUAUCUGACAUUGAAAUAUUAUAUAUACAAUCGUGUUUAAAAGUGAAUAAUCAAAAGUACGGAAUAAAAAUAUAUGUAUGAUUUAAAAAACAUUCUGUAUAUGUCAUCUACGAUACAUUUUUUACAAAUAUAGGAGGUUCCUAAACACUUUUAUCGUUUACCUUUUUUUUUAAUUAUAUAGUAAAAACGUUAAUAGUGAGUGUAGCUAGUAAAAGUAUAUUCUAAUUAUGCGGUGCGCUUUUUAGCAUAGUUUCUACUAUUUACAUUUAAGUAAAUUGAAUUUGAAUUUGUUAUCCAUUAAAUUUAUAUGAAACGUGUAACACUGCUUGAAAGAUUGUAUCAUAUGC